UAUGGCCACAUCAUGUUUAAACACCAGUUCCAGUACAAUCACCAAAGUUAAGCAAUAUUGAGCCUGGUCAGUAGCUAGAUGGGUGGCCACUUGGAAAUACGAGGUACUGUAAG